GGAUUUGAUCUCGAAAAUCAAGGCUAGAGACGCAUCAGGUGCCUGGGAGGAGCUAUAACACGCGCUGACUAUAUUUGUACUAAGCAGCAGACAACUCACAAUACAGCAGUGGAGAGAACAAAGGUGAAUAUUGCAUUUCAUUUUUUUAUCCAUUGUCUAACAUACCUAGAAGCACGCAAGCUGCGACUUACGUACUUUUCUGCCUAUGCACUAUGGCAAAGAUUCUGAGAUUAAGCAUGCUGGUCGUUUUUACUGCAUUUUGCCUUCUUUUCAAGUUACAGGGAAAUAUCCCCACUAGUGUUCUCGCAGGAAACCCAGCGAUUAGUCCCAAAAAUCCUACACGCAGAGAUACCGUCCCUUUUAGGCCACCACAAAGGGCCUGGCAAAGUACACGUCGAACAACUACGAGACGCAAAGCAUCCAAUUGCAAGUGGGGAUAAUUUCACCGAGGACGGCCACUUCGCUGCAUGAAGGGAAAGAGAAAAUGAAACGAUUCUGCAAAUUUUCUCUCCGCAGCACUAAUAAAACGGUUCGGUGUGAAUGCCGAAAAAUCUUG